UCCGUACCAUAUUCUGCUCGUACAGAUCCAUCGUACAGGUCUUGAUGGAAAAGUACUAAGUCGUAUGCAGUACAUUUAAAUGUUUAAAUUUAGCAGUACACAACAGUAACCAGAUGAUUUAGCCUACUACUCGGGUGAACAUUUCCAGUAUUCAGCCAGACCUCACUUCAUGGAAAACUGCAUGCCAGAUGCAACGGGCGAUUGCCAACUUUCCAAAUGUUUCAAACAAACGUAGCAGCAGUUGCAACUCUUGCAGUCGCAGCAGUUGCUUCUCGCAACUUUAGCCCCAGCAACGAAUAUGAAUGGCCCUCAGGAAGAUCAGUCUCCUCUGGGCCAUCAUCAUCAUCAUCAUCAUCACCAUCCCAAGGGCCCACUCCCAUUACACACCUCACCUCUGCCAGGUGCCUGUUCCUGUCCUGCACAGCAUUCUGACCAGGCUCUCUACAUGAUGUCAUUAAACAGAUGGAGGACGUAAGGCAAGAAUAACCUCCAUCACCAAUGAUGUAGAAUAACCUCCAUCACCAAUGAUGUAGAAUAACCUCCAUCACCACCAAUGAUGUAGAAUAACCUCCAUCACCAAUGAUGUAGAAUAACCCCACCACCACCACCAGGGAGUCUGCUUCUUCUGGACAUAUUCUGUGCUCAACCUGGGGUCCCAGACAGCACAGACAGAGCCAGGCAGAUAUUUAAGAAGCCGUGUUUGUGGUCACAGAUGGCCUGCAGUUGAAUUGAGUGAACAAGAGUAUGUUGACGGAGGCAAAGCUCCAAGAGUAUGUUGACGGAGGCAAAGCUCCAAGCCACAUGGCGUAAGGCAGGAGUACCUGCCAGGUCGGGGGACCCCUUCUCUGAUGGCCUCUGGUUCAUCAUUAGAGGGAAGCUGUACUGCCUGUUAUGAAUGCUGAGAGCCCCCUCUGGGGUUAAUGAACAGCUCCCUCUGGGGUUGAUGAACAGCUCCCUCUGGGGUUGAUGAACAGCUCCCUCUGGGGUUGAUCAACAGCUCCCUCUUCAAAAUGUUUUAUAAGAUAUGUUUGAUAAUAGUAGAAGAACAUUUCAUCCUCGGGAAAAGAGUUAAAAGAUAUUUGUAAAUAACAUCUACAUAUGUUUAAUGGGCGUAAAUUAAAUGUUAUUUUUAUUAACUGGGGUAACGAUGUCUUUGUGCUUUUCAGGGCGGAUUUAAAACGUAUUUUCAGAUAUUUGUUAAUAUGUUAAAUAAAUUGAGGGAAAUGUA